GUGUUGAUUUUGUUCACUUCUGUACAAGAUCUAAUCGCUGGAAGAGUCUUUUGUGUGAACAUUUGUUAAAAAAGUGAGAAAAGAAAUUAAUAAAUUAACAAAAUAAAUCAAAUUAAUAUAAACAGAUCAAUUGAAAGCAGUGGUCCAAAUUUUAGCGGAUCAAACUGUUUUAAUAAAGCAGCUGGUACAGGAGAAGGGGGUAUUGAAUCCCAUUCGGGGACAGUUCCCAAUAAAACGUGAGGAAGAGCUUAUAGAACUGGAAGAAAAAAUAAAAUUAAAUAGGGACAUUUAUGUAAGUAAAUCUAAACUCUAAAUUUUAUGACUUUUUUCUCUGUCUUAUCUUUAUAUUUUAAUGUUUCACUUACAGAUAACAGCAAUGAAAUCAAUUCUUCAGCCAGCUGGCGUUUUGAGCGGCUUGAACUUUAUUUUGAGUGAGGGCAUUUUUCUGGCAUAUAACGUCGAUGGGGUCCAAGGGAAGAAGGCCCUUAGGACCCACAAAGAAUUUUUUGCAGCUUUGCUAGAAUGUAUUCCGCCUGGCGAUGAGCCCCCCGAAAACACUGUACGGAAGGCAAUGCAAAGGGUGAAGAAAAGGGUGUUUAAAAAGAACUGUCUUGCCAAAAACCAGGAGUAGGCUAAGCAUCAUAUAAUUAAAAAUUAUUCGUUAUAUUGAAA